rnacentral:rRNA from 1 species
AUGGCCAUCUUCGACGAGUUCUACGUUGGGUCCAUCGACCUUGGGCGCCUCAACUAUGGGAUCAUUUCGCUCAUCCCCAAAGUGCUUGGGGCUUCCGACAUCCGCCAGUUCCGACCGAUCAUGGUAAUCAAUGUGAUCUUCCGGAUUCUCGCAAAAGGGUACGCCAAUAGGGUGACCCUGCUUGCCGACCACAUUACCCACCCCAACCAGUCCGCCUUCAUUCAAGGGCAGUAUAUCCUGGAUGGGGUGCUAGUACUUCAUGAAGUCCUCCAUGAGGUCCGGUCUAAACACCUCAGGGCGGUCUUCCUGAAGAUCGAUUUCCAUAAGGCAUACGACACUGUCAGUUGGUCCUUCCUUCAGGAAGUUCUGCUUCUGAAGGGCUUCGACGACCGUUGGAUCACCCCGAGUGAUGCAGAUAGUGUCCUGCGGUCGCACUGCCGUAAACAUCAAUGGGGAGAUCGGCCCUUACUUUCCCACCCUUUGUGGGGUUAG